AAGUAAUUAAGGGCGCAUGGUGGAUGCCUUGGCUCUCGGAGGCGAUGAAGGACGUGAUAAGCUGCGAAAAGCUGCGGUUAGGUGCAAAUAACCUUUGACCCGCGGAUAUCCGAAUGGGACAACCCGUACGGCUGAAGGUCGUACAUCCCCUGUUAAAGGGGAGGCGAACGUGGGGAACUGAAACAUCUUAGUACCCAUAGGAGAAGAAAAUAAAUAAUGAUUCCGUUAGUAGCGGCGAGCGAAUGCGGACAAGCCCAAACCGUAUGUGUUGCGGCAUGUACGGGGUUGUAGGAGCGCAUCAUGUAGGUUGUGGGAAACGCGAAGAAGAAAGGUCUGGAAAGUCCUGCCAUAGAGCGUGAUAGCCGUGUAUUUGCAAUAAGUUUCCCCCUUACGCGUUAUCCUGAGUAGGUCGGGACACGAGUAAUCCCGUCUGAAUCUGCCGGGUCCAUCCGGUAAGGCUAAAUACUCCCGAGAGACCGAUAGUGAAUAGUACCGUGAGGGAAAGGUGAAAAGCACUUCAAAUCGAAGAGUGAAAUAGUUCCUGAACCCAUGCGCCUACAAGCGGUCGGAGCAGUUUCGUGCUGUGACGGCGUGCCUUUUGCAUAAUGAACCUGCGAGUUGUCCGUUCCGGCUGAAAGGUUAAGGGUCUUGAGACCUGUAGCCAUAGCGAAAGCGAGUCCUAACCAGGCGUCAAUUGUCGGAACGGGCAGACGCGAAACCAAGUGAUCUACCCUUUGCCAGGUUGAAGACCGGGUAACACCUGUUGGAGGACCGAACCGAUAAGCGUUGAAAAGCUUCCGGAUGAGCAGAGGGUAGGGGUGAAAGGCUAAUCAAACUUGGAGAUAGCUCGUACUCCCCGAAAUGCAUUUAGGUGCAGCCUCAUAUGAUUAUCCUGUAAGGUAGAGCUACCGAUAAGAUGCGAGGGCUUCACCGCCUGUCAAGUCUUGACGAACUCCGAAUGUGCAUGAUUACAGUAUGGGAGUGAGGGCACGGGUGCUAAGGUCCGUGUCCGAAAGGAGAAGAAUCCGGACCGCCGGCUAAGGUCCCCAAAUGGAUGUUAAGUUGAUCUAACGCAGUGGGAUUGCCCAGACAGCUAGGAUGUUGGCUUGGAAGCAGCCAUUCGUUUAAAGAGUGCGUAACAGCUCACUAGUCGAGGAAUCCUGCACGGAUAAUACUCGGGCAUAAACAUCUUACCGAAGCCGCGGGAUUGGUAUUAUUACCAAUCGGUAGGGGAGCAUUCCAUAUCGCCUCGAAGGUGAUCCGUGAGGGUUUCUGGAGCGUAUGGAAAAGCAAAUGCAGGUAUAAGUAACGAUAAAGGAGGCGUGAAACCUCCUCGCCGUAAGACCAAGGUUUCCUGAUCAACGCUAAUCGGAUCAGGGUCAGUCGGGUCCUAAGGCUGUGCCUAUGGCAAGGUCGAUGGUCGAACCGGUUAAUAUUCCGGUACUUGCUUGUGGCAGUGAUGUGGAGACGGAGAAGUGAAAGUACAGCGGCAUGACGGAAUUAUGUCGUUUAAGAGUGUAGGUGUUGAUAGGUACAGGCAAAUCCGUAUCUUGAGCCGACCUUGAAAGUAUGAUGCGUCUAUUAGGCAAAUCAAAUGUAUGUAAUCAGGCUCCCAAGAAAAUCCGCUAAACGUUUUAACCCUCAAGCAACCCGUACCGUAAACGGACACACGUGGUCGGGUAGAGCAUACUAAGGCGCUCGAGUGAAUCACGGUUAAGGAACUAGGCAAAUUAACCCCGUAACUUCGGGAUAAGGGGUCCUUUUCACUGCAAGGUGGAAAGGCGCAGAGAAAUGGUCCAGGCAACUGUUUAACAAAAACACAGGGCUGUGCAAAAUCGAAAGAUGCGGUAUACAGCCUGACACCUGCCCGGUGCUGGAAGGUUAAGAGGAGAGCUUAUCGCUCAGUAAUGUGUGAGAAGGUUUGAAUUGAAGCCCCAGUAAACGGCGGCCGUAACUAUAACGGUCCUAAGGUAGCGAAAUUCCUUGUCGGGUAAGUUCCGACCUGCACGAAUGGUGUAAUGAUCUGGACACUGUCUCAACCGUGAGCUCGGUGAAAUUGUAGUAUCGGUGAAGAUGCCGAUUACCCGCGAUGGGACGAAAAGACCCCGUGAACCUUUACUAUAGCUUAACAUUGAAUCCGGGUAAUUGAUGUGUAGGAUAGGUCGGAGACUGUGAAGCAUGUACGCCAGUAUGUGUGGAGUCAUCGUUGAAAUACGACCCUUUGGUUAUUUGGGUUCUAACUUGAUAUUAUCAAGGACAUUGUUUGGUGGGUAGUUUGACUGGGGUGGUCGCCUCCAAAAGCGUAACGGAGGCUUCUUAAGGUACCCUCUGGACGAUUGGUAACCGUCUUAAUUGAGUGUAAUGGCAUAAGGGUGCUUGACCGUGAGACGGACAGGUCGAACGGGUAGGAAACUAGAGCAUAGUGAUCCGGUGUUUCCGCAUGGAAGGGACAUCGCUCAAAGGAUAAAAGGUACUCCGGGGAUAACAGGCUGAUCCCUCCCAAGAGCUCACAUCGACGGAGGGGUUUGGCACCUCGAUGUCGGCUCGUCACAUCCCGGGGCUGGAGAAGGUCCCAAGGGUUGGGCUGUUCGCCCAUUAAAGUGGCACGCGAGCUGGGUUCAGAACGUCGUGAGACAGUUCGGUCUCUAUCUAUCGCGGGCGUUUGAGAAAUUUGAGCGGGUCUGUCACUAGUACGAGAGGACCGUGUUGGACCGACCUCCGGUUUACCGGUUGUGCCGCCAGGUGCAUUGCCGGGUAUCCGCGUCGGGAAAAUGGAUAAGUGCUGAAAGCAUCUAAGCACGAAGCCUUCCGCAAGAUUAGAUUUCUUAUAUAAGGGUCGUUGUAGACCACAACGUAGAUAGGUCGCAGGUGUAGGAGCAGUGAUGUUUAUAGCCGAGCGAUACUAAUUGCCCGUGAACUUUC
rnacentral:rRNA from 1 species